ACGGAAGGCAGCAGUGGGGAAUAUUGGGCAAUGGGGGGAACCCUGACCCAGCAACGCCGCGUGAAGGUAGAAGGCUUUCGGGUUGUAAACUUCUUUUAUGAGGGACGAAGGAUGUGACGGUACCUCAUGAAUAAGCUACGGCUAACUACGUGCCAGCAGCCGCGGUAAUACGUAGGUAGCGAGCGUUGUCCGGAUUUACUGGGUGUAAAGGGCGCGUAGGCGGGGAUGCAAGUCAGAUGUGAAAUCUAUGGGCUUAACCCAUAAACUGCAUUUGAAACUGUAUCUCUUGAGUGUCGGAGAGGUAGACGGAAUUCCUAGUGUAGCGGUGAAAUGCGUAGAUAUUAGGAGGAACACCAGUGGCGAAGGCGGUCUACUGGACGAUAACUGACGCUGAGGCGCGAAAGCGUGGGGAGCAAACAGGAUUAGAUACCCUGGUA
rnacentral:rRNA from 1 species